rnacentral:rRNA from 1 species
UACGUAGGUGGCGAGCGUUGUCCGGAAUUACUGGGUGUAAAGGGUGCGUAGGCGGGUAAUAAAGUCAGAUGUGAAAUGCCGGGGCUCAACUCCGGAGGUGCAUUUGAAACUUAUUAUCUUGAGUGAAGUAGAGGCAAGUGGAAUUCCCAGUGUAGCGGUGAAAUGCGUAGAUAUUGGGAGGAACACCAGUGGCGAAGGCGAUUUGCUGGGCUUUAACUGACGCUGAUGCACGAAAGCAUGGGGAGCAAACAGGAUUAGAUACCCUGGUAGUCCAUGCCGUAAACGAUGGAUACUAGGUGUGGGAGGUAUUGACCCCUUCCGUGCCGGAGUUAACACAAUAAGUAUCCCACCUGGGGAGUACGACCGCAAGGUUAAA